GAAUCUCUUAUAAAUCGAUUAAAAUAAUAUAUAAGAAAGCUGUAACAAAGAACACCACUCGCUCAUACAGUUUUAUCUACCAAUAUCGAUCCAAAAUCUCUUCUCUCCUCUCUCCUUUUUCUCAUUGUUCUGUAUCAGAAACCAAACCGUUUUCCUUUCAUAUAUAUAUAUAUAUAUAAGCUAUGGCGGAAGUUCUGGUCUCCUUGGUCCUGCAGCAGUUGGCUUCCUUCACUUGUCAACAGAUAGAACACGAAUGGAGUCUGGUUAGCAGUGUUGAGGAGAAAGUUAAAAGCCUCUACAGCAAUCUCGAAGACAUUCAAAUGGUGCUUGUGGACGCAGAUAAAAGGCAGGUCAGCGAAGCAAGUGUGAAACGGUGGCUGGAUAAGCUGAAAGAAGUGUCUUACGAGAUCGACACUACGGUGGAUGAGUGGAACACCGCCAUUGCUCUCCGAUCUAAUCUUAAGCUUUUCAGCAAGGUAUGCUUCUCUACACUUCCUUCUCUGCAUCGUAAUCAUGUUCAUCGACCGGGAUUGCAUCGUAGAGUAGCUUCCAAGAUAGACAGAUUGAAUGAAAAGCUUAGUAGAAUUUCCACUGAGAAAGAAAGAUACACUUUUACAACUCAGAAUUUCAGUAGGCACACUUUAGGAACAACAUCAUAUUCAACUGAAUAUGACCAUCGUAAAAAUACUACAUCAUUUGUUGAUGUGUCUAAAGUGUGUGGUCGAGAGAGGGAGAAAGAAAUUUUAAUAGAGAAGUUGCUCGUGAGUGGUGGUGGUGAUGAGAGCAAACACCAUAUCAUUCCUCUUGUAGGAAUGGGGGGAAUCGGUAAAACCACCCUAGCCCAAUUGGUGUAUAACGAUGAAAAAGUUAAUGAUCAUUUUAACUUGAAAAUUUGGGUGUGUGUAUCCGACCCAUUUGAUGAGAUAACAAUUGCUAACCAAAUUUGUGUGGCUCUUAAAGUUGAAGAUGCCCACAAAUUUGUUGCAUUGGAUCCAUUACUAAAACAAAUUAAGAAAAACAUAGUGGGAAAGAAAUUUCUUCUUGUUUUAGACGAUGUGUGGACCGAAGAUGAUAGGAGAUGGGAACCAUUAGAAGAGUCUCUCAAGAAUGGAGUUGAAGGAAGUAAAAUAUUAGUGACAACUCGCAAGAAACGUGUUGCUACUAUGAUGAAGGUGAAAGAAGAUCGUAUCAUCUCCAUUAGUCACUUAUCAGAGGAGGUGUGUCUCAAUAUAUUUAACCAACUAGCAUUCCUAAAUAACGAGAGUCAAGAGAGCCUAAAAGAAAUAGGUGUGAAAAUUGCACAAAAGUGUAAAGGUUUACCGCUUGUUGCUAAGGCACUAGGAAGUCUUGUGCGUUUUAAAAAGCCCACCAAAAAACACUGGAAUGAAGUUUUGGACAGUAAAUUAUGGGAAUUAGGAGAUCAAGUUGAAAAUGAAGUUUUUGUUCCAUUCUUGUUGAGUUAUUAUGAUUUGCCCCCUCUUGAAAAGCGUUGUUUGUUAUAUUGCUCAAUUUUCCCAAAAGAUUAUGAAAUUGAUAGAGUUGAAUUGAUACAAUUGUGGAUGUCUCAAGGCUAUUUGAGUAGUUCAGAAGAGGAUGAGAGAAAAGGCAUAGAUUGCUUUGAGAAUUUAGCUACGCGCUGUUUUUUUCAAGAUUUUAAAACAGAUGAAGAGGAAAACAUUAUAAGAUGCAAGAUGCAUCAUAUAGUGCAUGAUUUUGUGUUGUUCCUCACAAAGAAUGAUUGUUUUAACUCAGUCAUAAUUACGAAGAAUGAUGAAAUGAAUCUACUAUGUGCAAAAGUUUUUCAUUGUACGUUAUUACUUGAGUCUGAGGAACAUGUAGUGCCUUCCUCACUUUACAGCAAAAAAAACUUACGCACGCUGUCAAUAGUUGGGAAGCAUGAGUCUGGGUCUAUAAGAUGGGAUUUGUUGUUGAAGUUAACAUGUCUUAGGACUUUGAGUUUGAGUGGUUGCUUAAGUCAAGGAUCAAGAAUACCUAAAGAUAUUGAUAAAUUGAUCCUUCUGAGAUAUCUCAAUCUAUCAAAUAAUAGACCACUAGAGCUUCCAGAAACACUGGGAAUUCUUUUCAAUUUGCAAACUUUAAAAUUGGAGGAAAGUAGUGGUUGGCUUCCAAAAGAGAUUGGAAAACUUGUUAACUUACGCCAUUUGUAUUUGGGUUAUUGUCAUUGUAAAUUUCCAGAAGAAUUGGGAAAAUUAACUGGCCUCCAGACUCUAGAAUCCCAAUAUUUUGAUACAUUAGAUGUUGACAGAAUGGGAAAAGUGUUUCAAAGUUGGAUGACGUCAUUAAAUAAUUUGAAAAGCCUUAAGCUGAAAAUUUGCAGUGGUAAGUCUUUAGGGCCUUUUGGAAAACUCCCCUCCCUCGAAUCGCUUACUUUAAAUAUUGUGAGGUCGGUGCAAACUGUGAGCAAUGAAUUCUUGGGAAUAGAAGACACAACAACGGAGACGCCAGCUGCAUUCCCCAAAUUGAAACGAUUGCACUUCAAAAAAUUUAGUGAUUGGAUAGAGUGGAAAUCAGAUGUAAGUUCAGAUGAUCAAAUAAUGCCAUGCCUUCAAUCCUUGAAAAUUGAAGACUGUUACAAGCUAGAAGCACCGCUUCCGAGGUUCUUACAAAGGACACCACCGCUUAAGAUCUUAACCAUAGAAUACUGUGACAGGUUGCAACCACUUCUGGAAGAAGGAUUAGGGACAGAGGAGUUGGUCAACAUUCUUACAUCGGUUAGAAGAACUAGAUCUUAAGAGUCAACUUCAAUCGAAUGAGUUCAACAAUAUUUCUUGAUGAACUACCUGAGGAUGCCUUUGGUGAUGUCGAUGGAAUACAAUCAUGUUGAUUUGACUAAACAUAAUUCAUGGAGGUGAUGGUUUCUCGUAUUCUUCUCAGACGGAGUAAUGGGUGGUAUCUAUGUCUUCGAAUAUUAUUCAGAUCCUAUAAAUAUCUAUUAUCGUGUUAUUAAUUUUUUCUGUGUGCUUUGUUUGGAUUGUAAAAAAUUCCCUGAACAAUUAUGCAUUAUUCUUCUUCAUUAAUAAAUCUUCAAGUCUUAUGGAUAGUGGACAAAUGAUGAGAGUGUUAGUUGGGUGCCAACAUAGUUGGGAUGCUUCUAAUUCUUACUGAUGUUCAUUUCGUAAGUCUAGUUAUUUUUUAUCAAA